UAGAUAGGACACGCCCCUUUGAGCUGCGUGCUACAGCGAGGCUAAGCUAGUGGGAGCAAAGUUUCAGUGCAUUCUGUUGAUGUAGACGGCGUGAAAACGGAAACAACAAGUAUGCCGGCUCACUGUGCUGCAUACAAUUACACACUACGUCGUACGAUUGAGACAAGGAAACUUGGAAUAACUUUUCAUAGGUUUCCCAGAGACUAUGGGUUGAGGAGGAAUUGGAAGUUUGUCGGCUUAGACCUGGUGUCAUUCCAUCAGUGUUAAACUUCCCGGCUCAUCUUGGAAGAGUACGUGCCAGAAAGACCACGACCAAGCAGCCUUGAGAUCUUAGGCAGCGUCUCCCUGAGACCAAAGAACUACAGACUCUUCACAACCUGCUCAAACUCUUGGUACAGGACCUCACCACACGGGUCAAGAAGGUUUCCGUCUCAUUUCUACUCUGAAGCUCACCUUCUCCUGCUAAAACUGCUGACAAAUGUUUCUGCUGCUCUAAAGUCUGGUCUCCAGAACUUCCUAAAAACUCUCAAAGUCUCUUCUGCUGCAGGUUGCUAUGUAGAUCUGUUCCAGAAAACCUCACUAAACCACAUGGAGGAGCCUCAAGAUAGUCGUCCAAAUGAAACCUUACAAAAACCAAACUAGCACAACCCAAACGCUAAAGUCUCCUGCAGCCUACCAGAGAACCUCUGAGAACAGAGAAUCAGGACAGGAACUCUUACCUUCUGGACAACCAAUGCUGGUUCUCAAACAAGAAUACAGAAUGUGUCUGACCAGAAACCUCUGAAGACUCACUACAGCCAAGAUAAAGACACAACUCAGCUGUACCAAAUCCACUAAUCACUGCACACAUUAGCACCAUGUGCUAACUGUGGCUAAAGAACCACAUUUACCAAGACAACUAUCCAGUACAAAGCCCUAAAACACACCAAGAAACACAUUAAAGACGAUUUUACUGCUGGAAGCUGCAAGCCAACGCCUAAAAAACAAACUAAAGCAACGGAACCAAACCCGGUUCAGUGGUGAACAGAAGCAGAGGAAAUGUUUGUCUGCAGCUAAAUAAAGCAGGAAGACACUGAGCUGCUCAGGUGUUCCUGAUAACACCAAGCUGCUCAGGUGUUCCUGAUAACACCAAGCAGCCACCUGGACAGCCAAUAGGAACACAGCUUCCUGGAAGUCCAGAGGGCUGGGUUAGUGAAGGAAAUUUAGUUUAAAGUUGAAGCAGAAAGUUAACAAAGAAAGUUGAAAACCACCUUCUGAUACCUGAAAUCUCUGAGUUUUCACACAAAGAACACCUGAACAUGUCAAACUGGUUCCAUAGUAGAACCAUCAUUGUAAAAACGUCAUAGUAUGGUGUGUUGCUCAAAAAACAUUAGGACCCGGCUGUCAGGGGACAAACAUGUAAGAACAUGAGAACAGAGAGAACCCAACCAGUAGGUCACAGUUUAUCAUCCCCCAGUCAUCUCCUGAAGUCCAUAUGGUGAGAGACAUCAGUAUCUGGUUGUUCAUUUACCAGAGGAUGCUUAUAAUCAUGCUGAUGUGGUCUGUACUCUGCAGUAUUUUAGUGACUCAAUAAAUGCCUAAGUUGUUUUUUUUAAAAUGCUUUUUAGUUUUUAAUAAACAUUUAACAGCCUAUAUGUAAUCAAUAAAUGGCCUUUGCCUAUCUUAAGAAAAAUUCACUCAGAACUCUGAUAUGUUAACAGUACUAAAUAAAUCAAUAAAUACAUGCAUACACACAUAAAUAAGUUAAUACAUUAACUGUGUUAAGAUAAGAUUUAGAUUUUUAAAAAAGUUGUUUAUGUUUUUGCAGAAUCCAGUAUUGCACACUGGUUGGUCAUUACAUUUUGUUAGUUUGAUUUCACUGUUUAAAAUGAUGCCACCUCUUUUCACACAGAACCUGUGAUUAUAAAACAAUACAAAAUUUUUAGUUCCGUGUUAAUAAAGCACUUAAAGCUUUAAGUAUGGCUAAAUGCUUUUUUCAGAAUUAAAUAUAUCACUCCUUAGGUGGUAGUGGCCCAAAGUUCAGUAAAGUUGGAAAGAUAUUCACAGAUUCAGACUUCCAGCAUCAAUAACUCAUUAGAUAUAGGUUGUCAAAACAUAAACAGUGCCUCUUUCCCAUUGUUGCAAGGCAGACAAUGUGCUACAAGCCCAGUUUUAUCAAAAGUAGCUGUCUUUCAAGCUACAGGAAUAACAUUGGUGUCUAUGGAGUGAACAGGGUCCGUCUGCAAUUUGCAAAACCACUGCAACAGUAAAGAGAGACAAAUAUUCAAUAACUUCACUCUUAUACAUUGUAGUGUCACUAAAAUCACUGCAGCCUUCAACUGGCUCCUGUUGACAAAGUGUUUUAACAGAAAUGUAAAUGCUGUAAUUUGAUUCUUUUAAUGAACCAUGUAACUUGAAUGGAUGUGAUGCUGGUGUGACCACAGUGCACACGUCUGAUGUUGCUCACAGUGGUCCAAGGGACGCUCAGGGAGUUUGUGUGUUUGCUCACACUCAGGAAAAAUUACAGGGA